rnacentral:rRNA from 1 species
ACUGAAUAGAUACCCGGGUAGUCCACGCUGUAAACGAUGAAUGCUAGAUGUUGGGGGAGCGAUCCUUCAGUGUCGCAGCUAACGCAAUAAGCAUUCCGCCUGGGGAGUACGGUCGCAAGAUUAAAACUCAAAGGAAUUGACGGGGACCCGCACAAGCGGUGGAGUAUGUGGUUUAAUUCGAAGCAACGCGCAGAACCUUACCAGCUUUUGACAUGGGAAGUAUGAGGACCAGAGAUGGUUUUCUUCAGUUCGGCUGGCUUCCACACAGGUGCUGCAUGGCUGUCGUCAGCUCGUGUCGUGAGAUGUUGGGUUAAGUCCCGCAACGAGCGCAACCCUUAUUGCUAGUUGCCAUCAGGUUGGGCUGGGCACUUUAGCGAAACUGCCGGUGAUAAGCCGGAGGAAGGUAGGGAUGACGUCAAGUCCUCAUGGCCCUUAUAGGCUGGGCUACACACGUACUACAAUGGCGGUGACAGUAGGCAGCGACGGAGAAAUCCUGAGCGAAUCCCUAAAAGCCGCCUCA